CUGGUGAAGUAGGCAUUAUUAUUUCCAUUUCUCAGAGUAAGAAAUUGAGGCUCUGAGAGUCUGAGUGAUGACCCAAGGAUGUAUAGGCACCGUCAGGACUGGAACUUGAACCCAGAACUCUUGAUUUAAGUGUAUUUCAUUAACACUACCUUGUAAAGUACCAAGUAGAUAUCCCUUGCUCCUGUUUCUUCCUUCCUCCUUUUUCUCUCCCCUUCUCUCCCUUGUUCCUCUCUAGGCACUGAAGCAGGUGAAAAAUCCGUACAGCAGCUUCUGUCUUUGAAGAGUUUGCAGCCUCUUGAAGAGGGUUUAGAGGUUAAAAAAAGCUUUGUGCUGAUGAACAUGGUCACCUUGAAAGGUGUGUUGAAUAUGGCAGAGCCAGAAAAUGCAAGGAGCUUCUUCUCUGGAUCACCACUUGAAGAAGAGCCACUUGCUCCUCAGGAACCCUAUUUUGGACUGACGUUGCAAGAAAGCUCAAGUAGCCUAUGGAGAGGAUGCAAGGCUUCCAGCUGAUGCCCUCAGCCAGGCUCAGUAGCAGCCAGAACUAGCCUACCAACGAACCUGCUGAUCAUGUGCAUAAGCCACCUUGAACGUCGAUCCUCCUGCCUGGUGGAGCCAUCCCAGCUGAUGCCACAUGAAGCAGACACAAGCUGUCCCUACUAAGCUCUGCUCAAGUUGGAUAUUCAUGAGUGAAAUAAAUGACUGUUACUAAGUAAUUAAUUUUUGGGUGGCUGUUAUGUAGCAGUAGAUAAUUGGAACAAAGCUUAUUGACAUAAUACAUCUAUAUCACAUCCUCCAAUCCAUUUUUUUAAGUAAUAAAGUUGAUGUUUGUUUUGAUUUUCAGUUACAGCUUUACAUAUUUUGUCUUAAUUAGUCAAUUUUUUCCAAACUCAAAAUGGGUUUUUGUAAGAGUAGUAGUAGGGUCCUAGAAUAAUGGCAAUUCUCUUUCACUGGAGAAAGUUUUGUAGAGAAGACAAAAGAAUUUUUACAAGUACUCCACUGGUGAAAACUCAUAAACCUUGAAGGUAUUUUUAAAUUCAUCAUGCAUUUAUCAAUUUAUAAAUGAAUUCAUCAUUCAUUGGUCCAUUCAUCCAUCCCUCCAUCCAUUUCUAGAUCCUCUCAUAAGAGGAAAUCUAGGAAUAAGCCUGAUCAGUGAAAGUUUCAUGGGAAAGAGGAAGGAGGAAGAAAUUAUUUUAUUUUUAGAGUUUUGGGAGUUAGUGGUUAUGGACUUGCACUGGAGAAGAUGGGUGAGAAAGUUCAAGGUUUCUAAAAUGGGAAAGUAGGCCUGGAGAAAAUGUUGCAACCAAGAUUAUAAGGCCAAUUACCAGGUCUGAUUACCAGAAAAUAAUUUUUAAGGCAGGAAUAUUAGGCCAUAUCAGUACCUGAAAGAGUGAUCGAGGCUAAUUUGUUCAUUCAUGUAACAACAAUUUAUUAUGUGCUACUAAGUACCAUCACUAUAUUAUAAACUGAGGGUUCAGUAGUGGAUAAGAGAAACUAAUUCCCUGGCCUAAUGAAGAUUUCAUUCAACGGGGAAAACAAGAAACAUAUAUGUAAAUUAGCAAAAGUUAAUAAUAUCAUUCAAAGAGUGCUAAGAGCUCUGAAAAUAGUAAAGCAGGGUGACUGAUAAAACAGGACUAAGCAGGUAACAGUAAGAGGUGAUCAGGGAAAAAACCUCUGAAGAAAACAUAUUUGAUCUGGAAUCCAAAUGGCAAGUAGAAUGAAGAAGGUAAAUAAUUCAUACAAGAGCAUAUCUCUUCCAUAGCAAGUGCAAAGACCCUGGGCAAAUGCCAUAGUUGAGCUAGCACCCACCACUGGCUUCAAGUGAUGGGUGAGUGAUACAGACUCAAGGAAAGGGCCAAAAGGGCAGACAAAACCAGUUCAAUUUGUCACUUAUUCAUCCACCCAUUGAUCCAUCUACUGAUCCAUUUAUCCAUCCAUCCAUCCAUCCAUCCAUCCAUCCAUCCAUCCAUCUAUUCAACAUACAUGUUGGGUGCCCUUUACAUACCAGGACCUGUACUGGGCAUGGGAACUGCAGAGAUGAAAAGAUGAACAAUCUCUGUACUUGAGGGACUCAUCUCACUCUGUGAGAUGAACUGGCAUGUGACUGAAAACUCACUAUAUUGGUAACGAGACUAAAACACAGAGCUUAAUGAUUUAACCUGAUACCACCCAAGUGGUUAGCGGUUAGUGGCAGGGCUUCAGAAUUUUAUUUUCCUUCCCUACAGGGAAAACCAUUAUGUGUGACCUACUUUUUCAAACUCUCUUCCUCAGUGGGGCAACAAUUAGAGUUUAUCUAUUGCUAGUGCUUACCAUUUUAGGCUCCUUUAAUUAGAGUGUUUUAAAUUAGUGUUAUUUUAAUUUUGCUUAUCUCCUGAGACAUUAUAGAGGAUAAAUAGCAAAUGAAAUAAUGUACAUGAAAACACAUUGUAACCCAUAAACCAUCAUACAGAUGUGUGUUAUAUACAGUUUUAUAUUUGAGGAUAUAGCUUUAUGCAUUAGUACUGCUUCCUCCUCAGGGAUGUCUCCAAAAGAAUUCAGAGUAAAACAGACUUGUGGAUUGAUGCUUUAAAGACAUUUUGUAUUUUCUUUAAAAAUAAAAUUGACUCACAGUAGGUGCUUAAUAAAUAUUUGUUCAAAGAAUGCAUAAGAUGCAAUAUUCAGAGACAUAGAUUCAGUGUAGUAGGCAUCAGUGUGGCUACUUGGCUACUUACUGUGCAAAAGAUGUCAAUUUGUGAGUGCAAAUUCAUCUUAAGGAAAUUCUCUGAUUUAAUUUAAGCAUUGGUAGAGAGAUUUACUAUUAUCCUCCUUGGAAAUGAAAAGCAUAUAGCUCAGGGAAGGAAGAUCACAUUUUUAGGAGAACUAUCUGGGGGCAGAUUACCCAAAGUGUUAAUUAUUAUAAUUACUAUUGUUAAGUUGGUUUUAAAGUCCUAUAUGAUGUAAUAUCAUGUUCUCUUUUUGUUUCUCCAG
rnacentral:lncRNA from 10 species